AGGAGCUUGCUCCUCUGACGUUAGCGGCGGACGGGUGAGUAACACGUGGAUAACCUACCUAUAAGACUGGGAUAACUUCGGGAAACCGGAGCUAAUACCGGAUAAUAUAUUGAACCGCAUGGUUCAAUAGUGAAAGACGGUUUUGCUGUCACUUAUAGAUGGAUCCGCGCCGCAUUAGCUAGUUGGUAAGGUAACGGCUUACCAAGGCGACGAUGCGUAGCCGACCUGAGAGGGUGAUCGGCCACACUGGAACUGAGACACGGUCCAGACUCCUACGGGAGGCAGCAGUAGGGAAUCUUCCGCAAUGGGCGAAAGCCUGACGGAGCAACGCCGCGUGAGUGAUGAAGGUCUUCGGAUCGUAAAACUCUGCUAUUAGGGAAGAACAAAUGUGUAAGUAACUAUGCACGUCUUGACGGUACCUAAUCAGAAAGCCACGGCUAACUACGUGCCAGCAGCCGCGGUAAUACGUAGGUGGCAAGCGUUAUCCGGAAUUAUUGGGCGUAAAGCGCGCGUAGGCGGUUUUUUAAGUCUGAUGUGAAAGCCCACGGCUCAACCGUGGAGGGUCAUUGGAAACUGGAAAACUUGAGUGCAGAAGAGGAAAGUGGAAUUCCAUGUGUAGCGGUGAAAUGCGCAGAGAUAUGGAGGAACACCAGUGGCGAAGGCGACUUUCUGGUCUGUAACUGACGCUGAUGUGCGAAAGCGUGGGGA
rnacentral:rRNA from 1 species